rnacentral:rRNA from 1 species
AGGUCAAGUGAAGAAGGGCGCACGGUGAAUGCCUUGGCACUGGAAGCCGAUGAAGGACGCGACUAACCGCGAAAGUCUUCGGGGAGCCGUAAGUAGGCUUUGAUCCGGAGGUCUCCGAAUGGGGGAACCCAGCAUGUGCAGACAUGCUAUCCUUAAGUGAAUACAUAGCUUAAGGAGGGAACACGCAGUGAACUGAAACAUCUAAGUAGCUGCAGGAAGAGAAAGAAAUAUCGAUUUCCCAAGUAGCGGCGAGCGAACAGGAAAGAGCCCAAACCGGCAGAUUUAUCUGCCGGGGUUGUAGGACUGAGACAUGG